UUGCUGUGAUGACCAACUUAGGACACCUUUGGAUUAACCAUGAAAAAAAACCGUGUUCUGAGCAAC